AUUGAACGCUGGCGGCAUGCCUUACACAUGCAAGUCGAACGGUAACAGGUCUUCGGAUGCUGACGAGUGGCGAACGGGUGAGUAAUACAUCGGAACGUGCCUAGUAGUGGGGGAUAACUACUCGAAAGAGUAGCUAAUACCGCAUGAGAUCUACGGAUGAAAGCAGGGGAUCGCAAGACCUUGUGCUACUAGAGCGGCCGAUGGCAGAUUAGGUAGUUGGUGGGAUAAAAGCUUACCAAGCCGACGAUCUGUAGCUGGUCUGAGAGGACGAUCAGCCACACGGGGACUGAGACACGGCCCAGACUCCUACGGGAGGCCGCAGUGGGGAAUUUUGGACAAUGGGCGCAAGCCUGAUCCAGCAAUGCCGCGUGCAGGAUGAAGGCCUUCGGGUUGUAAACUGCUUUUGUACGGAACGAAAAGCCCUGGGUUAAUACCCUGGGGUCAUGACGGUACCGUAAGAAUAAGCACCGGCUAACUACGUGCCAGCCGCCGCCGUAAUAC
rnacentral:rRNA from 1 species